UACGGAGGGUGCAAGCGUUGCUCGGAAUUAUUGGGCGUAAAGGGUAGGUAGGUGGUCUCAUUUGUCUGGGGUGAAAGCCUUGAGCUUAACUUAAGAAGUGCCUCAGAAACGGUGAGACUGGAGUCCUGGAGAGGGUCGUGGAAUUCCCGGUGUAGCGGUGAAAUGCGUAGAGAUCGGGAGGAACACCGGUGGCGAAGGCGGGACUCUGGGCCUACCCUGACGCUGAGGCGCGAAGGCGUGGGGAGCAAACGGG
rnacentral:rRNA from 1 species